rnacentral:lncRNA from 10 species
CAUUUUCCUUCUGGAGGAGAAGACAGUCGGAGAUGAGAUCUUGCUGUGUUGCCCAGCCUGGUCACACACUCCUGGACUCAAGUGAUCCUCAUGCCUCAGCCUCCAGAGUAGCUGGAACUACCAGCACAGGCCACCUACUCAGCCCCAAGUUUCCUCUAUAGAUGCAGCCAGACUCAUUCAUUCAAAAGCAAGCCAUCCUCAUAGUCUUUGCUCAUGCCAUUCCCUUUUUCACUUCACUUCAUUCCACCCCUCACUUCCUUAAAGACCCAGGCUCUGUGGCCCCUUUUGCGGGGGACCCCUAGCUCCAAGUCCUGCAAUCCCUCCCUUGGAGCUGAGCGUUGAAGCAUCUGGCAUUUGACUAUUCAUUUGGCACUUGGCAUACGAUUCCUUAGGUGAUUUGUAAUUUUUAAUGCAUCUACUGUUUCUCAUCAGAAAGACUGUAAACCUUUGAGAGCAGAAGUCAUGUUUAUAUCUCUUGCUACCUUAUAUUUAAUGUAAUGCCACAUACAUAGUUGGAGUGCAAUGCAUAUUCAGUGCUGGUGAUCAUGGGAUGUGUUUGAAAAGGAUCUAUAACCAAGUAACAGCCAAUGUGUAUUGGGCACAUAAUAAUCAUUAUACACAAUGCUAUACACUUUAUAUGGAUUAUGUCAUUUGUCCUUUCUACAACCCAGUGAUCUACGGACAACUAUAGUCCCAUUUUACUGAUGAGGAAACUGAGGCUUAGAGAGAGCUAAGUAAUUUGCCCAUGGUCAUCCAGCUCGUAGGUGGAGAAACCAGAAUUCAAUCCAGAUGGUUUGAUUCCAGAGCCACCACUCUCAACCACCGUGCUAUGACCACAUUUGAAGAGAAUAAUCCCUCCAUCCCAACACUGUAAAUGAUAAUUAAAUAUAAUAAUUGUGAUGCUGCUGAUAAUAAAUAAAAAUCUUCCGUGGAGAGUGGGGCUCUGAUCUGCUCCACGUUUUUGUUUGUUUGUUUGUUUUUUGAGAUGAGGUCUCACCCUGUCACCCAGGCUGGAGUGCAGUGGCACCAUCUCUGCUCACUGCAACCUCUGCCUCCCGGUUUCCACCGAUUCUCCCACCUCAGCCUCCCGAGUAGCUGGAAUUACAGGCGCAUGCCACCACACCCGGAUAAUUUUUUGUAUUUUUAGUAGAGAUGGAGUUUCACCAUGUUGGCCAGGCUGGUCUUGAACUCCUGACCUCGAGUGAUCCAUCUGCCUCGGCCUCCCAAAGUGCUGGGAUUAUAGGCAUGAGCCACUGUGCCCCACCAUCAAAUAGGUUUUUUUGGUGUCCAAUAACUUCCCUCUUGCAAAGCUCUUCAGAUGUAGAAAUGCACUUCUUUCUUGUACAAGAAGGUAAAAUGAGCUGCAUAGUCAAAUGUUAGAAUUUGGCUUAGGCUUUAAAGGGGUAUUUCUUUUCUUUUCUUUCUUUCUUUUUUUUUUUUUUUGUCAAGGGAUAGUAAAGAGGAAGCCUCUAACCUCAAAGCAGCCUAAGUUUUACAGACCUUCUCCUGUGUUUCUGAAUCCCAGGCCUGACCAGAAAUCGUUCCCCCAUGACUCUAGAGAAGGAAAAAUAGAAAGCAUUAUAGGUGUUCAGACUGGUCACAGAAGACAUCUUCGCAAGGCAGUUCCUAUCACAGCCAGCUGAUGUCACCAACGGGGCAUGGGGGAGAUGGAGGAAAGAAACAACAGAAGAGACGAAGAGGAAGGAGGGACGACGGAGCAAAAGUGAAGACAUGAUAUACGGCCGAGGACAUAGGGAGACAAAACCAGACUGACAAGCUGAAGACUCAAACAUUAAUCAAACUGCGCUCCGGAACAACCUUUCCCUCGCAUUAAUAAAUACAUUUGCGGCCCCUCAUUGGACA